rfam:Pteropus alecto contig97406, whole genome shotgun sequence.
GGCUCCAUAGUGUAGUGGUUAGCACGUUUGCUUUACACGCAGAAGGUCCUGGGUUUACACCCCAGGUGGAGCCA